AGCAAAGUUGAUAGCUUCCGAG
rnacentral:miRNA from 1 species